rnacentral:lncRNA from 1 species
AUGUAUGGAAAUCUGCCUAUUACUUCAGAGUCAUUUUGUGAGAACUGCAAAGCUAUCAUUUCUGAAUAUGGAAACAGAAUAAAUGUAAAGACCAGACCUUCAAAGACGUUUAGAAGCCUAACUCUUACUGCAACCAGGUCAAUGGAACGUAAGCCUCUUAUCGUACGACAUUUUAGCACUUCUUUAAAAGCAUAAGUUAUUAUGGCUACCAAAAAAUCUGGGUGAUCAUCAACAACUGAACAUGAAUAAGCUCAAGAAUGCACACAUUAUCUUUCUUAUUUCUCUGUAAGAUUUCACAUAUUUCUGCUCAAGUCUUGGCAAAGUAGUUUUUAGUAUUUUUUUUUUUCACAUAUAUAAGCCACAAGGCAUUUACUCCUUAUUGUAUUUCUUAUUUGCUGGAUGAAUACAGUUUCAAAACAAAAUCAAAAUUACACCAGCAGUUUAUUACCUCCAUCUACAUAUUAUCUGUUGAAUUGAUUGUCUUGUGAUGAGAUGAUGUCUUUUCAGUUACAUAAGCAAUCCACAGAGUAUCAGUUAUAAAGCAGAAAUUAGAUUCUCUCUCCCACUUUAAGCCCUUGCAACUUAGCAACAAUGCAGGUGUGAGGCACACACAGGCAAUACAGGGGAAGAUUACCCUGGAGUUAUCUGCCUCUGCUCCCUCUCCAUAAUCAGUACCCCUUUCUUCUGAUUUACUGCAGAUUAUUUUGCACUGCAGGUUCUAAGUGAACUUAUUUUGAGUGUGGGCACUUACAAAGCAGUGGGGAUUAUUCAAGGUUCAGUCUUGUGAAAAAAUAUGGUAUUUCAUUAAGUGGGCAAUCUGAGAUUUAUGAUUUUUAGUUUUCUAUUCCUUUCUGUUUAUUAAUGCCCAAAGUUUGUUGAAAGCGUGAUAUACUGUCACUUAGUACUGUCUUCCAAGUGUUGAAUUUAUGUGUGUAUAUAUACACAGUACACAGCACACAAAUGCAGAUGUAUAUCUAAACUGGUAAAGGCUUUAGUUACCUGUGGGAAUUAACUUUGAUUCCAGUGCUGAAUGGCUAAAACAUUUCUGUGGUGUUAGGAUCCAGAAUAGGAUGGAGACUUAAAACCAUAAGCUUCUGUUCCUUGAAAUCAAGCAUGGCUCUGUCAGAUGUGAGUGGAGCUGAGCAAUGUCAGCUUGAAGGAAAAGCUCUGGUGCUUUGAGAAAUAAAAUCCAACACUUUGAUGGCA